rnacentral:rRNA from 1 species
GAAACUGCGAAUGGCUCAUUAAAUCAGUUAUCGUUUAUUUGAUAGUACCUUACUACAUGGAUAACCGUGGUAAUUCUAGAGCUAAUACAUGCUAAAAAUCCCGACUUCGGAAGGGAUGUAUUUAUUAGAUUAAAAACCAAUGCCCUUCGGGGCUCUCUGGUGAUUCAUAAUAACUUCUCGAAUCGCACGGCCUUGCGCCGGCGAUGGUUCAUUCAAAUUUCUGCCCUAUCAACUUUCGACGGCUGGGUCUUGGCCAGCCGUGGUGACAACGGGUAACGGAGGGUUAGGGCUCGACCCCGGAGAAGGAGCCUGAGAAACGGCUACUACAUCCAAGGAAGGCAGCAGGCGCGCAAAUUACCCAAUCCCGACACGGGGAGGUAGUGACAAUAAAUACUUAUACAGGGCUCUUUCGGGUCUUGUAAUUGGAAUGAGUACAAUUUAAAUCCCUUAACGAGGAACAAUUGGAGGGCAAGUCUGGUGCCAGCAGCCGCGGUAAUUCCAGCUCCAAUAGCGUAUAUUAAAGUUGUUGAGGUUAAAAAGCUCGUAGUUGAACCUUGGGCCUAGCCGGCCGGUCCGCCUCAC